rnacentral:rRNA from 1 species
GGUUAAGCGACUAAGCGUACACGGUGGAUGCCCUGGCAGUCAGAGGCGAUGAAGGACGUGCUAAUCUGCGAUAAGCGUCGGUAAGGUGAUAUGAACCGUUAUAACCGGCGAUUUCCGAAUGGGGAAACCCAGUGUGUUUCGACACACUAUCAUUAACUGAAUCCAUAGGUUAAUGAGGCGAACCGGGGGAACUGAAACAUCUAAGUACCCCGAGGAAAAGAAAUCAACCGAGAUUCCCCCAGUAGCGGCGAGCGAACGGGGAGCAGCCCAGAGCCUGAAUCAGUGUGUGUGUUAGUGGAAGCGUCUGGAAAGGCGCGCGAUACAGGGUGACAGCCCCGUACACAAAAAUGCACAUAUUGUGAGCUCGAUGAGUAGGGCGGGACACGUGGUAUCCUGUCUGAAUAUGGGGGGACCAUCCUCCAAGGCUAAAUACUCCUGACUGACCGAUAGUGAACCAGUACCGUGAGGGAAAGGCGAAAAGAACCCCGGCGAGGGGAGUGAAAAAGAACCUGAAACCGUGUACGUACAAGCAGUGGGAGCCUCUUUAUGGGGUGACUGCGUACCUUUUGUAUAAUGGGUCAGCGACUUAUAUUCUGUAGCAAGGUUAACCGAAUAGGGGAGCCGAAGGGAAACCGAGUCUUAACUGGGCGUUAAGUUGCAGGGUAUAGACCCGAAACCCGGUGAUCUAGCCAUGGGCAGGUUGAAGGUUGGGUAACACUAACUGGAGGACCGAACCGACUAAU